UCCAAAGCACGUACUUUGCAGUUUGUAUGUAUUUUGGAGUUAGUACAUGCUUUGGCGUUUGUAGAUAUUUUGGAGUUUGUACGUUGUACGUGCUUUGCAGUUUGUACGUGGUUUGGAAUUUGUAUGUGCUUUGGAGUUUGUACGUGUGUUUAAUUGACGAGAAACAGCUAAAGACAAUGCCACGUUGUGAUUUUUGUGGCAAGUCCGUGAGGACACUGAAGGGUUAUGUGCUUCAUUGCAAACUUCAUCGAAAUGAGCCGCGAUGCACAUUUAAGUGUUUUGGAGCCGACUGCAGGCAGACAUUUUGCAAGUAUGGGGCUUUCAAGGCGCAUUUUUAUCGAAAGCACAUUUCUCCCACUCCUGUUACCGACAAGAUUACGCUUAGCACUUUUAAAUGCGCAGUGGCAUUGUGUGAACGUCAGUUUACAGACUCUUUACAGACACUUCUUCUCCUGUCCUAUUUUGAUGAGAGAGAGGAGAAUCUAUUCCAUCAUGUUGAACAAACAUGUCUGGGACACAAGAUUCAAAUGGAAAGCCUGCCAGUAACCAUGUAUCAUUGUGUGCGGAUCUUCUUGCUAUUCUUCAACCCGAUUCAUGCUUGCUGUAGACCAUAAAGUUGUAAAUGACAACAUUCCCACCUUCAUUUCUGCCAUCUGCUUGAUGUUUGGAAGUUACUACUGCCUCAAUAUUCACUAUCCUGUAGACCUUUGCUCAACACUCGAGUUUCUUCAGAGAUGCUGUUUCAACAUCAAUCCAGAAAAGGGCACAAAGGUGAAAACAAAGAAGAACAAGAAGCAACUGUCUGUGAACCCAAGAGUGAUCACUCUUAUUGCAGAUCUUUCAGACCACGAGUGGCGAGAGACAUGUUAAAAAUGGACUUGUGCAAUGUUGUUAAGUCUCAGCUCUCACAUCACCGGCUGUGUGACAUCUUUAUUUUAAUGUAGCAGUUAGCCACUGGUUUUAAAGGUUUUUCUCCUUUUCGUUUCUGAAAUCAGUUCUGUGUUUUUAUAAGAACAGUCUUUUAAUUUUAUUCUGAUUUGCAUCAAUUACAUACGUGGUUUCAGAUGUUUAAAUUUGUGGACAUUUUUCCCUUAAAGUUUAAAACACAACUAACAUACUGAAUAUUUGGAGAAAUUAAUGGAUCUUGAAGCAUUGACAACAAUUCUUACAUUUUAGGUUCAGUAAACUUGAAAUAGGUCAAUGUUUAAUUUUGUUGAAUGUAUAUUAUUCACGGACAAGGUCAAUUUUUUGUAAUUUUUGUAAUUAUCAUUUUUGUUUUUUGACACUGUUAUGAACAAAUUUAUUAAUCUGAGCAAUAAAUAAGAGGUUUAAAAAAAAGAGUAGAAAUUUAUGUGCAUUGUGGUACACAUGAGUCCUAGCACUUUUUCUUCAGAAAACUGAGCAGGUCUGGUUUUUCUGACAGCAGACAGGCCCUUUCUUGGCAUAUGGUGUCCGCCAGCAGUUGAAAGGCAGAGUUGUGUGGGAAAGAGCAGCAUGAAUUAGUGACUUUGUCGCUACAAUUAGUGACUUUUUCUGGUGUUAUUGGAGACUUUUGGAGUGUCUGACAUGAAGCAUCUAUCAUUCUUCUACUUCUACUUCGUCUCUAAUCUUCUCUCCAAGCAGUGGAGCUUCUGUGGGCUCCUCUCCCAUCCCAGAGAGCUGACAGGCGGUCAGUACUCAUGCUGUAGUUGGAGUGGAUGUUUACCUCACUGCAUCCAGUACCAACCUAAUGAGGGUGCAAGGAAAGAACGCCAGAACAUCAGAGACUGGUUUCCAUGUUGAAAGCCCUCUACUAUCAAGUCUGGAUAAAAAGAAACAUUGUCAGACACCACCGCAAGGGAAAGAAGAUUGUCAUCAGACCAAACGCCACCAGCUGCUCUCACCUGCCUCCCUUGCAGCCGAGCUAGGGACCACACCUCCGCCACAGUAUUGUUGUAGGGUCUACUUUACAAUAUAAAGCACCUUGAGGCGAUUGUUGUUGUGAUUUGACGCUGUAUAAAUAAAAUUGAAUUGAAUUGUGUCAAGUCCAUGUUUCUGUUCCCGCGUUCAGUUCUUUCCUGUUUUAUUCUGGUAGCCUGUGUCUCCUGUGUCUAGUGUUAAUUACACCUCAGCAUUUUUUUGUUCUCAGAUUUAGUUCAGCUGUGUGUUUUUCCUCAGCUGUCUCCACUCUGCCUACAUGUAUUUAACCCCUCAUUGCUGCUAUCCAGUAGC